UACGUAGGGUGCAAGCGUUGUCCGGAAUUAUUGGGCGUAAAGAGCUCGUAGGCGGUUUGUCGCGUCUGCUGUGAAAACGCGAGGCUCAACCUCGCGCCUGCAGUGGGUACGGGCAGACUAGAGUGCGGUAGGGGAGAUUGGAAUUCCUGGUGUAGCGGUGGAAUGCGCAGAUAUCAGGAGGAACACCGGUGGCGAAGGCGGGUCUCUGGGCCAUUGACUGACGCUGAGGAGCGAAAGCGUGGGAGCAAACGGG
rnacentral:rRNA from 1 species